rnacentral:pre_miRNA from 12 species
ACCUUAGAAUGCUGUAGCAGCGCAUCAUGGUUUGAAACAGUCAGAAAAAAGUGCGAACCAUUAUUUGCUGCUUUAGAAUUUUAAGGA